rnacentral:rRNA from 1 species
GAUGAACGCUGGCGGCGUGCCUAAUACAUGCAAGUCGAGCGAACCACUCCGGUGGUGAGCGGCGAACGGGUGAGUAACACGUAGGUGAUCUGCCCAUCAGACGGGGACAACGAUUGGAAACGAGCGCUAAUACCGGAUAGGACGAAAGGUUAAAGGUGCUUCUGGCACCGCUGAUGGAUGAGCCUGCGGCGCAUUAGCUAGUUGGUAGGGUAAAGGCCUACCAAGGCGACGAUGCGUAGCCGACCUGAGAGGGUGAACGGCCACACUGGGACUGAGACACGGCCCAGACUCCUACGGGAGGCAGCAGUAGGGAAUCUUCGGCAAUGGGCGAAAGCCUGACCGAGCAACGCCGCGUGAAUGAUGAAGGCCUUCGGGUUGUAAAAUUCUGUUAUAAGGGAAGAACGACUUUAGUAGGAAAUGGCUAGAGUGUGACGGUACCUUAUGAGAAAGCCACGGCUAACUACGUGCCAGCCGCCGCCGUAAAAC